GACGAACGCUGGCGGCGUGCUUAACACAUGCAAGUCGAACGGAAAGGCCCUGCUUUUGUUGGUUGCUCGAGUGGCGAGCAGGGGAGUGACACGUGAGUAACCUGCCCUUAACUUUGUGAUAACUUCAGGAGACUCGGGCUAAUACCGGAGAUGAGCUCCUGCUGCAUGUUGUUGGUUGGAGAAUUUCGGCUGUGGUGGCUGGACUCGCUGCUUAUCAGCUGGUUGGGCGGGUAGUUGCUUACCAGGGCUUUGACGGGUAGCCGGCCUGGGAGGGUGAACGGCCACCUUGGGCCUGAGAUACGGACCAGAAUCCUAUGGGCGGCAGUAGUGGGGAACAUUGCAGAAUGGGGGGACGUCUGAUGCAGAAAUGCUGCGUGCGGGAUGCCGGCUUUCGGGUUGUAAACCGCUUUGGAAUUUGACGAAGCGUGCGUGACGGUAAUGGGUCAAGAAGCAACGGCUAACUACGUG
rnacentral:rRNA from 1 species